rnacentral:rRNA from 1 species
ACGGGUGAGUAAUGUCUGGGAAACUGCCUGAUGGAGGGGGAGUAACUACUGGAAACGGUAGCUAAUACCGCAUAACGUCGCAAGACCAAAGAGGGGGACCUUCGGGCCUCUUGCCAUCAGAUGUGCCCAGAUGGGAUUAGCUAGUAGGUGGGGUAACGGCUCACCUAGGCGACGAUCCCUAGCUGGUCUGAGAGGAUGACCAGCCGCACUGGAACUGAGACACGGUCCAGACUCCUACGGGAGGCAGCAUG